AUGUGCCGUGAGCUGGGGAGCAAAUCUCCCUUGGGAUCUGCCCAGGAGCUGCCGUGCAGCGAAUCCACCUUGGGAUCGGUGCCCCGCAGCGAUCCUGCCGUGACAGCUCUGACAGCUGCAGGUGGGCACGCUGAGCCGCCCGCGUCAGCCACGCGGCAGAAUCUGGAUGGCCGCGACGACUCCCCUCGUCCACACCAAUCACCGUCCAGCAGAUGGCAGGCUGGUGCUGGCCUGGGCCGUGCGUGGCCUGAGGCCCAACCAGUCGUCUACAAGCGGCGGGCAGCGACUCACCGGGCUGAGGCGAGGACAGAUCCGGACGAGGCCGGAUCGGGGGGAGAUCAGCCAGAUCCAGGCGUGGGAUCCUCUGCGUCGGGGCUCUCUGUAGCGGCUCCUGCUACUGCUCCACGCCGCACACGGCUACAGCAAGGCAAAAUAGAACCUGUUGAUUAUAAACAUAUUACAAAACAUGGGAUGAUUUGUUCAACAGGUGAACCAGGAGAACCUAACACUCUUGAAGAAGCACUUGGUGAUGCUAAUUGGAGAAAGGCAAUGAAUGAUGAAAUUGUGGCACUAAGAAAAAAAUAA
rnacentral:rRNA from 1 species